rnacentral:rRNA from 1 species
AACGAACGCUGGCGGCAUGCCUAACACAUGCAAGUCGAACGAGAUCUUCGGGUCUAGUGGCGCACGGGUGCGUAACGCGUGGGAAUCUGCCCUUUGGUUCGGAAUAACAGUUGGAAACGACUGCUAAUACCGGAUGAUGACGAAAGUCCAAAGAUUUAUCGCCAGAGGAUGAGCCCGCGUAGGAUUAGCUAGUGGGUGUGGUAAGGCGCACCAAGGCGACGAUCCUUAGCUGGUCUGAGAGGAUGAUCAGCCACACUGGGACUGAGACACGGCCCAGACUCCUACGGGAGGCAGCAGUGGGGAAUAUUGGACAAUGGGCGAAAGCCUGAUCCAGCAAUGCCGCGUGAGUGAUGAAGGCCUUAGGGUUGUAAAGCUCUUUUACCCGGGAUGAUAAUGACAGUACCGGGAGAAUAAGCUCCGGCUAACUCCGUGCCAGCCGCCGCGGUAA